rnacentral:lncRNA from 1 species
AAAAAAGUAGUCUGAAAAUGGCAUUUAACAUGCUUAUUCUUGUAUGGGCUAUAAAUAAUUAAAGGACUGAGGACUAUGCUUUAAAUAAAAGAUAUAUGCCAGUGUAGACCUCAUCAAAGAGGGAGAAAAAUCCUCCUAGAUACUUUUCCGAGCACUUUCCUGCUGCUCUUUUGCUUUCAUUUGCUUAAAGAAGCUAGUUGUUAGUGUUCUCAAUGUCUGAAGUUUAUUACAGGGGAAGUUCUACAUCUUUACAUAGCAGGGGUUCUCAGCUUGAGAAUUUCCUCGGCUGUAUGCAAGGCAUUUGGCUUGUUAAACACUGGGAGAACUAAGAAGCUCUGAGAACAAGCUUUCCAGAUGUGAAAAACAAGCCACACAAAUGUGAUUCAAGAACAAUAGUUCAGAAUUGGAAGAGGAUGGAGAUUUGGAUACAGCUCAAGGUCAAGCAAGAGAGCACCCACUGGCUAUUUACAUUUCCACAAGAAAACAACAGACAACUUAUCGCUACCUAUAAAUAUAGUGAAGGACAUCUGAAAUGACUAGAAAUCAGGUAAUCAAUCUGCCUUGCUGGCACAAAUUUAGUGAGCAAAUUCUCACGGAGGGUGCUGUCUCUGCAGGAUUUUAUAUGUUCUUCUCACUGUCUGGCUGAAUUACACUCCUAUACAUGAAGUAAAUCUCCCUUUAAAUGCACAACAAAAACAGAAUGAUUUAGAAUUUUGAGUAAAAGUGCAACAUUUACCAUACCAAGUAUUGUAGGUGAAUGGAAUGAAUUCAUUUUAUUUUAUUUUUAUAUAUCAUGCACACUUUGUCCAGAUAUCCCAAUGAUAACAUUUGGGGGUAGGGUAAGGAAUUCCACAAACAUUUUAUUUAUGUGAAUUUAUUUUAAAUGUUAUUUAAAAUUUAAUUUUUUGUAUUAAGACACUUGGAGAUUCACAUGCAAUUUUUUUUAGUUUUCCUUAAUGGUAACAUUUUACAAAACUGUAAUAUAACAUCAUAAUCAGUAUGUUGACAUUGAUAUAAUUCAUUAAUAUUAUUCAGAUGGCCAGUUUUACCCAUAUUCAUUUGUAUAUCUCUGUGUGUGUUUGUGUGUAUUCAUUUCUAUAUUAAGUUGAGGUUCAUUUAUCUACCACUACAGUCAAGAUAUUGAAUAGUUUCAAAAUCAGAAGGAUCCCUCUUGCCUUUUUGGAACCACACCCAGCUCUCUUCUGCUUU